UGCAAGAGCCGACGACACACGCACGCGUAAAUCAAAAAUAAGUUUGGAACAAAAUGUAAACGAAAACAAUGAGGGCCGACCUCAACGUUAUAGAAAACCGCCUGAUAGGGGGAAGAGCUGUUAUGUAUUUAAGAUGUAUAUGGAGAGUUGCGCGCCGCGAGGUAAAGGAGCCUAAUCGUGACACCUUUCGGCGUUAUCGUUCUAGUUUACCCCCGAAUAUCGUCUAAAGCCCGGCUUUUAGCCGAGUCAUCGUCUCCCGCUGUCGCAGAGACCAGGACAGGCGCGUAGCGAGCGGAUGCUCCGUUUAUAAGCUCCGGUUACUCCGAUUGUGUUCUAACUAAUAAAUAGUUCUGUGGUUAAAA